GGGCGGUUAGCUCAGUUGGUUAGAGCGCAGCGUUGACAUCGCUGAGGUCACUGGUUCGAGUCCAGUACCGCCCACCA
rnacentral:tRNA from 1 species